rnacentral:lncRNA from 1 species
AGAAAGAAAUCAGGAGAAAGGUUUUGGGGACACCAGUGUCACCAGAAAAUAGGAAGUACAGAGAUUUGAAAAGUAACUACAGCUUAAGAAGGUGUUUCUGGGAGAGAUGGAAAGAGGGGGGGAUUCAUAUGUAAAUUCAUGUUGAGGGAUAGAUACAUGAAGGUACUAUCCUUUCACUCCUUCCUGUAUGGUGGCAGGCAGGCCGGCAGGCAGGCAAGCAGCCUGUAUCACACCAUCUGCCUGCCUCACCUACCCGCCCAGUCUGGGGGCCCCUGUAGCCAGCAGGGAAGCCCUAUUCACAGAACCAAGUUGCUGCCUUUUUCACCUCGCACACCUACAGGCUAUGUCUGGCUGAAAAUGCCGUUGAUAAUAUAAACAAUAAAAGUGCUUAAAUUAGACAGUUGCCUGAUUAAAGUGAUGUUUUGCUACUAUUUUAAAACAUCUAGUGAUAGGAGCUACUAAAGUUUCCCCUCCCUGAUUUAUAGCCAGUUUGCUGAGUUAAAAAAAAAAAAAA